ACAUAAGUAGGAUGAUCCUUACCUGUUCUUUCUUUUUUGAGGAGGGCUUGGAACUUGAUGAUUGGAGUUUCCCAUAAUACAUGAUAAACAUCUCUGUGUAAUCAAGACUGGCAAUGCCCUGAUUGCUCCUAUCUUCU
ensembl:snoRNA U8 U8 small nucleolar RNA